rnacentral:lncRNA from 1 species
UAGUUCAAGCCUGAAUUUCAAUGAGAUGGGAACACUUUUUAGUAUAAACGCAAGAUUUUCAUGUCUCCCUUUUAGGAAAAAUAGGGAUUAUGGCGUUCAUCUGUUUCAUCCAGAACUAGAAGCAAAACCCUAAACCUCAGACUCUUCCAGCAUGUCUGAUCCAAUCAAACAAGGGAAGAUGCUGCGGGUGCUUUGUAUGCUAAGGAAGUGCUACGAUGCCAUCGUCUGUCCAGGAAAAGAAAGGAACACCCAUCCAUGUGGUUAAGCCAUCAGAAAACUGGAGCAUUGGGAAUAAAGGAAUUAUUUCCACGAGACAAGCACGCCAGCCAUUGGCUCAUAAUGAGCUGAAAGACCAAUGACUGCUUCUCAGAGACUCCCUAGGGCCCAGUGUCCUGGGGGCAGACCUGUGGCUGAGUCAGCAUGGUGCACAGCAGAAAGUGGGGGGAGAGUGGCCAGCGCUGCCCCGGCGGGCUCUGUCUGCAUCACCUGGAGCGGCACAGACCCUUCAGUCUCCAUUCUCUCUUCAGGAAAGAGGCCUACUCGCAGAUGAACGCACCAAGGCUCAGGAGAUGAGGCAGCUGUCCAAGGUGGGUGAUGUGUGCUCAGACCUCCAGGAACCGGCGAAUGAGGCCUCAUGGAAAGAACGUGAGGUGGCGGUGGAGGGGAACAAGAGUGGGGAAAUCCCUCCAGGCGGCCUCCUGCACCCCCAGGCUCUGGAGACAGCCUUCACUGGACGCUGGAAUAUCAGAUGGGGUGAAGACAGAAAAUGCUGUGCUGGCCUGGCCCUCCCACAAACACUCCAGUUUCACGGGCUGAAGAGGGGACAAAGCAAAUCCGUGGGAUGCCGAGGGCACUUGGAUAACUUCCGCUCGGGAGAGAAGCCCAAACUCCGCGUCCCGGAGACCUGAAGUGUGGCCGCCAGUGGACACCCAGCUGAGGGAUGAGCAGGAAUGAAUGAGAGUUCCUAUUGCUCCACGUCCUCACCGCAUUUGCUGCUAUCUGUGCCCUGGAUUUGGGCCAUCCUGAUAGGUGUGUGGUAUCCGGUAGGUGUGUCUCAUUGUUGUUUUAAUUUGCAUUUCUCUGAUGACAUAUGAUGUGGAUUAUCUUUUCAUCUGCUCAUUUGCCAUCUAUAUAUCUUCUUUGAGGCAUCUGCUCAGAUCUUUGCCUUUGGCCUUUUGUUAUCUCUAAAACACAGAAGGCGGUGCAGGGUGCGUUAAGAAGGCAUGUCUGGGCAAGUGGGUGCCUUUGCCUCUCCCUGCUGCCCCCGCACAGGGUUUCUCCAGGCUGUCUUGUCACCCACCUCUAUUUGGUUGGGGCCACAUUUACCAGGGAUCCCCACUAUCCCAAAACUCCUCUUGAACACAUUGUCUGUCCAGGAGGGGCCUGUCGAGCUGCAGUUUAUGUUCUAUAGGUUCAGGCAGCUGCUGCUAAAGUGACAAGGUGACUCUCUGACCUGGUUUGCUGAGAUAGUCGCGGAUGACACCUCUUUUCCUGGCUUAAUGGUUACAACUCCCACCCCACCAAAGUGUCUCAGUUUGGACAAUAACCACAGUUAUUAUCCUUGGGAAAGGACAUUUGGGCUCUGACAUCUGGCCUGGCUGAAUCACCUCCUCCCUGUUGGAGGGGGUCAGGGGUCAGGGUUGCUUCCCUGGAGCUCUGGAAAGACCAGUGAAGGUGAGGGAGGUGUGACAGUAGAAACUGCUGCGAAGAGCAGACUCCUCUGUCCAUGGGCAGGGACCUCAAAGGCUUUCACUUCACACCCACCUCCAUCAACGUCAAUGGUCACCAAGGUCCUGAAGCCUUCCUGAAUUUCUUCCUGCAUUUCUCCAACCAGAGCAAUUCUCUUUCUUUGAGUCCUCAAGUCCACACUGAGCUUCUUUCUCCUCCCUUAGUACAUUCCUUCUCCUGAGAGACAGGUUAACAUGCAGCAGCUCUGUGACCUUGGGCCUCAGUUUCCCCAUCUGCAAAAUGAGGAGGGUCAUAGUGCCUGUCUCAUAGAGUCAUGAAGAGGAUAAAGUGAAUGAAUACAUGUGAUGUGCUGGGAGCAGCUUCGGACACAUGGAAAUGUUCGCUAUCAUUUUAAGCACUGAAUCUUAGAUUGUAAGCAUCUUUCCUUUAAAAGAGCAAAGUUCAAAGUUAUAUGUUGAGUAAUGACCAUAUGCCAGGUGCUUUCACACCCACAUCAAUGCUCCAGACUCCAAGAGCUGGCGGUCAUUGGAUCCAGUUCAUAGGGUGGAGAAGAGGAGGUUCAGAGUGGUGAACUAACGGGCCCAGGUCACACAGCAGAACAGUGAAAAGGUCAUGGAUGGCUUAAAAUACCAGCCCUUCCUUCACCCUCCUUCAGCCUCUUUCUCUCUCUCUCUCUCUCUCUCUCACACACACACACACACACACACUCCCUUCAUAAAAAUCUCACAAUGGCAAGUGUCUUAUAUGAGACACACAGAGGAGAAGAUCCUGUGAAGAGGGAGGCAGAGAUUGGAGAAUCACAGCCACAAGUCAAGGAAGGCCGACAACCACCAGAAGCUGGAAGGGGUAAGAGCAGCUUCCCCGCGCUGUUUCUAGAGGGUGCAUGGCCCUGCCAGUACCUUGAUUUUGGACUUCUGGCUUCCACAGUUGUGAGAUAAUACACUUUCCUUGUUUUACGUCAACAUUUUGUGUAAUUUGUCUCGGCUGCCACAGAAAGUGAAUAGAAAUAGUUUUCCCUCAGCGCAACCUGGUGAUGCACGUGUUCACUUUGAAAACACGUCAUUUCCACCUGCAAAGGUUUUAGGUUCCUCAAAGGGACUGUGCAGAGGGAUCGCUGCAAGUGAAGUCAACAUUUGGCCUCAUUCUGUUAGAACACCUGCAAGAGGAGGCUCAGGUGCUGACUGAACAAAUCCCCUGGCUCUUGGGGUGGUCCAUGCCUUUACCGAAUGCCUCCUUUGUUGGGGUCAUUCUGCUGGGAAGACAUUCCCAUUGGAAGAUACUGGACCUUUCCUUUACCAUGUCAGGCAUGACACUCCUACGUUAAAAAACUGUCCAUACCAAGGGCAUGACAGGCAAUUCAUAGAAGAAAGCAGGAUGAUCAAUGGCCUAUGAAAGGAUCCUCAGCUGUGGCUAGGCGCAGUGGCUCACCUCUGUAAUCCCAGCACUUUGGGAGGCCAAGGCAAGAGGAUCACUUGAGCCCAGGCGUUCGAGACUGGCAUGGGAAACAUGGCAAAACCCCAUCUCUAUAAAAACUUAGCUGGGUGUGGUGGCAUGUGCCUGGAGUCCCAGCUACUCAGGAGGCUGAGGUGGGAAGAUCAUCUAAGCCCAGAAGGUUGAGACUGCAGUGAGCCACCAUCGUACCACUGCACUCCAGCCUGGAUGACAGAGUGAAACCCUGUCA